CCUACGGGAGGCAGCAGUGGGGGAUAUUGCACAAUGGGGGAAACCCUGAUGCAGCGACGCCGCGUGUGGGAAGACGGUCCUCUGGAUUGUAAACCACUGUCCCCAGGGACGAAGAUGACGGUACCUUGGGAGGAAGCUCCGGCUAACUACGUGCCAGCAGCCGCGGUAAUACGUAGGGAGCGAGCGUUGUCCGGAAUUACUGGGUGUAAAGGGAGCGUAGGCGGGACUGCAAGUUGGGUGUCAAAUCUACCGGCUCAACCGGUAGCCGCACUCCAAACUGCAGUUCUUGAGUGAAGUAGAGGCAGGCGGAAUUCCUAGUGUAGCGGUGAAAUGCGUAGAUAUUAGGAGGAACACCAGUGGCGAAGGCGGCCUGCUGGGCUUUUACUGACGCUGAGGCUCGAAAGUGUGGGGAGCAAACAGGAUUAGAUACCCCAGUAGUC
rnacentral:rRNA from 1 species